CUGUCACCAGGCCCUCGGCUGGCGGCCUUGGUGCGGCUGCCGCGGUUGCCAGGAGAGCGGCGCCGGCGGGGAGCAGCAGAGCCCGCGGCAGGUGACCCAUGGGUUGAGAACCACUACUCUACAGGGUUGCCUGAUUAUUCUUAUGACAAAGAUAGUAACUCCAGAAUGAGUGAUCCAAGAAACAUCAAGAUGAGGAAACUCAGACUUGAGAAAACUAAGUGCUUGGUUCAAGUCAUUCAUCUGGGUGUCUCAUUGGAUCCAGAGCUUGAAGUUUCAGCUAGAAUAGCUGGCCAAGGAACCCACAGGAUCUUCCUAUGACCGUCCUUACCCAGCAGUGGUAUCAUUGGCACACUCCUCCAUGACCGGUUUUUACGUUAAGUCCUGAGGCUCCAAACUUGUUUUUUAAUUGCAUAGCACUUUAUUCACUGAGCCAUCUCUCCAGCCCAUUGCCUGGCAUUUUGGCGUGGCUUCUGGGAAUCUCAUUCUUGCAAGGCAAGCACUUUACUAACUGCCCCUAGAAUAUUUUUUUUUACCUGACUCAACCUUACUGCAAGGGAAUGAUUUUGCAUGACUUUGGAACUGGUCACUAGCGGGACACGGUGGGAGGAUGAACACAGAAGAGCUGGAGUUAUUGAGUGACUCCAAAUACAGAAACUAUGUAGCUGCAAUUGACAAAGCACUAAAGAAUUUUGAAUACUCCAGUGAAUGGGCAGAUUUGAUAUCAGCGCUUGGAAAACUCAACAAGGUUUUACAAAACAAUGCCAAGUACCAGGUAGUACCCAAAAAACUGACCAUAGGCAAACGCCUAGCUCAAUGUCUGCACCCAGCAUUACCAGGUGGGGUUCAUCGGAAGGCACUUGAAACAUACGAAAUCAUCUUCAAAAUCAUCGGACCUAAGCGACUUGCCAAAGAUCUUUUUUUAUAUAGUUCUGGAUUGUUUCCUCUACUUGCCAAUGCUGCUAUGUCUGUGAAACCAGCACUGCUCAGUUUGUAUGAGAUAUAUUACCUGCCUUUAGGAAAAACUCUGAAACCUGGUCUCCAGGGAUUGCUGACUGGUAUUCUUCCUGGCUUAGAAGAAGGAUCAGAGUACUAUGAGAGAACAAACACACUGCUGGAAAAGGUUGCUGCUGCAGUAGAACAGUCGGCAUUCUACAGUGCACUAUGGGGCAGUCUGCUCACCAGUCCCGCUGUGCGCUUACCUGGGAUCACAUACGUUCUGGCCCAUCUGAACAGGAAGCUUUCCAUGGAAGAUCAGCUGUAUAUAAUUGGCAGUGACAUUGAGCUCAUGGUAGAAGCAGUAAGUACUUCAGUGCAGGACUCGAGUGUACUUGUACAGAGAAGCACACUGGACCUCAUCCUCUUCUGUUUUCCAUUCCAUAUGAGUCAGGCCACUCGACCCGAUAUGAUCAGGAUUUUGUCAGCAGCCCUUCACGUAGUACUAAGGAGGGAUAUGUCCCUGAACCGAAGACUUUAUGCAUGGCUUCUUGGUUUUGAUAACAACGGUGCUAUCAUAGGACCCAGGAGCACAAGACACAGUAAUCCUGAAGAACAUGCCACUUACUAUUUUACAACCUUUUCAAAGGAAUUGUUAGUCCAGGCCAUGAUAGGAAUCUUACAAGUGAAUGGAUUUGGAGAAGAAAGCACUCUCAUGCAAGAUCUAAAACCUUUUCGGAUUUUAAUCAGCUUAUUGGACAAACCUGAGCUAGGACCUGUAAUUCUAGAAGAUGUUCUAAUUGAGGUGUUUAGAACAUUGUAUUCUCAAUGUAAAGCAGAAUUGGAUCUUCAGAUGGAACCACCCUUCAGCAAGGACCAUGCUCAGUUAAGCAGUAAAUUAAGGGAAAACAAGAAAACAGCCGAGCUGAUUAAAACUGCGAAUCUUCUUUUUAAUUCCUUUGAACCUUAUUAUAUGUGGGAUUACAUUGCACGCUGGUUUGAAGAAUGUUGUCGGAGAACACUGCAUGCCAGACUUCAGGUUGGGCCUGGAGACAGUAGUGACUCAUCUGAGUUACAGCUGACCAAUUUCUGCUUACUGGUGGACUUUUUGUUGGAUAUUGUCUCUUUGGAAACUUACAUUGAAAUACAGACAGAACACUUGCCCCAGUUACUACUCAGGAUGAUUUCUGCCUUGACAAGCCAUCUCCAGACAUUACGCUUGUCUGAGCUCACAGAUUCUUUGAAACUCUGCUCAAAGAUCCUUAGCAAAGUCCAGCCCCCACUGUUAUCUGCUGGCACUGGGGGUGUGGUACAGUUUCCAAGUGGGCAGAGCAGCACAGUCAAAGAAUGGGAAGACAAAAAGGUAUCAUCAGUUUCUGUAGAAAAUCCUGCUGAAGUAUUUGAAGAUGGAGAAAACCCACCAAGUAGUCGAUCAUCAGAAAGUGGCUUCACUGAGUUUAUACAAUAUCAAGCAGACCGAACUGAUGAUCUUGACAGAGAGCUGAAUGGACAGGGUACAGCUACCAUCCCAAUGGGAAGCACAUCUUCAGAGACAGAAACAGCAUCCACAGUGGGAUCUGAAGAAACUGUUAUCCAGCCACCUUCCACCUUCACUCAGGGUGCAGCAGCCCGAAGUGGGAAGGCAGCACAAAAGACUGCGAUGCAGUGCUGCCUGGAGUAUGUCCAGCAGUUUCUUACCAGACUCAUUAACCUCUACAUCGUUCACAGGGACUCCCUUUCUCAGCCUUUGGCUGCCGACCAUCAGGGAGAUAUCCGUCGAUUUCAAAGAGACACUUCAAAAUGGGACAGGGAUUCCCAAGGGGAUGCAAAAGAAAGAAGUAUAUAUACACCAAAAACUUCAAAAGAAUACCUUUCUGCCUUCCUUGCUGCCUGUCAGCUCUUCUUAGAGUGCUCGAGUUUCCCGGUCUAUAUUGCAGAGGGAAACCAUACCUCGGAGUUACAUUCUGAGAAACUUGACACUGACUGUGAACAUGCACAUCCUCCACAAUGGCUCCAGACUCUCAUGAGCGCCUGCAGCCAAGCAAGUGAUUUCAGUGUUCAGAGCGUCGCUGUGUCUCUGGUCAUGGACCUAGUGGGAUUGACUCAAUCUGUUGCCAUGGUCACUGGGGAAAAUAUCAACAGCAUGGAGCCUGCUCAACCCUUAAGUCCAAACCAAGGAAGAGUAGCCGUAGUUAUUAGACCUCCCCUAACACAGGGCAAUCUGAGGUAUAUAGCUGAGAAGACUGAAUUUUUCAAGCAUGUAGCCUUGACAUUAUGGGACCAGAUGGGAGACGGGACACCUCAGCACCAUCAGAAGAGUGUGGAAUUAUUUUAUCAAUUACAUAAUUUGGUUCCUUCUUCUAGCAUCUGUGAGGAUGUUAUAAGUCAGCAAUUAACCCAUAAAGAUAAGAAAAUAAGGAUGGAAGCACAUGCAAAGUUUGCAGUUCUUUGGCAUCUAACAAGGGAUCUCCACAUAAAUAAGUCAUCUUUUGCACGUUCCUUUGACAGGUCACUAUUCAUCAUGUUAGAUAGCCUUAAUAGUCUUGAUGGUUCUACUAGCUCUGUGGGGCAAGCCUGGCUGAACCAAGUGCUACAAAGGCAUGACAUUGCCAGAGUACUGGAACCGUUAUUACUGCUUCUACUUCAUCCAAAAACUCAGAGGGUUUCAGUGCAGCGUGUACAAGCAGAACGUUACUGGAGUAAGACUUCCUGUUAUCCAGGAGAGGAAAAUGACAAACAUUUCAUGCAAAAUUUUACCUGCAACAAUGUAAGCCAAGUGCACCUCAUUGCAUCGAAAGGAAAUGGUGAAAAGCAUCUUACUAUGGACGAAAUAGAGAAUUUCAGCCUCACUGUUAAUCCAUUGAGUGAUAGACUUUCCCUCCUAAGCACCAGCAGUGAGACGAUUCCAAUGGUUGUAUCUGACUUUGACCUCCCAGAUCAGCAGAUGGAAAUACUUCAGAGCUCUGAUUCCGGGUGUUCUCAGUCUUCUGCCGGAGACAACUUCAGUUAUGAAGUUGAUCCUGAAAAUGUAAAUGCUCAUGAGGAUUCUCUUAUGGCAAAGGCAAGCUCCCCAGAUGAUGACGUUCAGCAAGUCGUCUUUGACCUGAUAUGUAAAGUUGUAAGUGGCCUGGAAGCAGAAUCCGCAUCAGUUACAUCUGAGUUAGAAAUAGAAUCCCUGCCACUAAAGAGCGGUGAUUUAGAUGCAGGUAUAAAGGCCAUGAAAAGUGACGAUCAGGCCCCUCAACACAGUCAGCAUGCUUUGCUGAGUGACGACAGCCCUCAGUUUCUGUCUGUGUCUGCAGAGGAAGGCUGUGAGUGCUUGGCCAAUGGGAUCUCUAGAAACAGCUCUUCUCCUUGCAUUUCGGGAACAGCACAGACUCUCAAUGAUUCUUCUGUUUCCACAGAAACCAAAUCUAGACAAAGGAGUCACAGUAGUAUUCAGUUUAGCUUCAAAGAAAAGUUAGCAGAAAAGAUCUCAGAGAAAGAAACAAUUGUUAAGGAAUCAGGUAAACAACCAGGUGCAAAACCCAAAGUAAAGCUUGCCAGAAAAAAGGAUGAGGACAAGAAAAAAGCUACAAAUGAGAAACUGAAACAAACAAAUGUGUUCUUCAGUGACGGCCUGGACUUAGAGAACUGGUAUAGCUGUGGUGAGGGUGAAAUUUCUGAAAUCGAGAGUGACAUGGGCUCUCCAGGAUCACGGAAAUCUCCCAAUUUCAACAUCCAUCCUCUCUACCAACAUGUGCUCCUGUAUCUGCAGUUGUAUGAUUCAUCAAGGACUCUGUAUGCCUUUUCUGCCAUCAAAUCCAUCUUGAAAACUAACCCCAUUGCUUUUGUAAAUGCCAUUUCAACCACAAGUGUAAAUAAUGCAUAUACUCCUCAGCUGUCACUGCUUCAGAAUCUACUGGCCAGACACCGAAUCUCUGUUAUGGGCAAAGACUUCUAUAGUCACAUUCCAGUGGACUCAAAUCAUAACUUCCGGAGUUCCAUGUACAUCGAAAUUCUUAUUUCUCUCUGCUUAUAUUACAUGCGUAGCCAUUACCCAACUCAUGUUAAGGUCACUACCCAAGACUUGAUAGGCAAUCGAAACAUGCAAAUGAUGAGCAUAGAAAUCUUGACUCUCCUCUUUACAGAGCUAGCAAAAGUAAUAGAAAGCUCUGCAAAGGGUUUCCCUAGUUUUAUCUCUGAUAUGCUAUCUAAGUGCAAAGUUCAGAAAGUGAUUCUUCAUUGUUUGCUAUCCUCUAUCUUCAGUGUACAAAAAUGGCACAGUGAAAAAAUCGCAGGUAAGAACAUGGUUGCUGUGGAAGAAGGCUUCUCAGAAGACAGCCUCAUCAAUUUCUCAGAGGAUGAAUUUGACAAUGGCAGCACACUCCAGUCACAGCUUCUUAGGGUGCUUCAGAGGCUGAUUGUUCUAGAACACCGGGUGAUGACGAUUCCUGAAGAGAAUGAAGCAGGUUUUGAUUUCGUUGUGUCUGAUCUGGAACACAUCAGUCCCCAUCAGCCCAUGACUUCUCUUCAGUAUUUGCACGCUCAGCCCAUCACUUGUCAAGGCAUGUUCCUCUGUGCAGUGAUCAGAGCUUUGCACCAGCACUGUGCAUGUAAGAUGCAUCCACAGUGGAUUGGCUUAAUCACAUCUACUCUGCCUUACAUGGGAAAAGUUCUACAGAGAGUUGUGGUUUCUGUGACACUACAGCUGUGCAGGAAUUUGGACAAUCUAAUUCAGCAGUACAAAUAUGAAACAGGAUUAUCUGAUAGUAGGCCUUUGUGGAUAGCAUCAGUUAUUCCACCAGAUAUGAUUCUUACUCUUUUGGAAGGAAUCACAGCCAUUAUCCAUUACUGCUUGUUGGAUCCGACUACCCAGUAUCAUCAACUCUUGGUCAAUGUGGACCAGAAACACUUGUUUGAAGCUCGCAGUGGAAUCCUCUCAAUCCUUCACAUGAUCAUGUCUUCUGUGACUCUGCUCUGGAGCAUACUGCACCAGGCAGAUGCUGCAGAAAAGAUGACGGUCACUGCAUCUGCAUCUGUUACCACAAUCAAUCUGGGAGCCACAAAGAAUUUAAGACAACAAAUUCUGGAAUUAUUGGGACCCAUUUCAAUGAAUCAUGGUGUUCAUUUCAUGGCUGCCAUCGCGUUUGUAUGGAAUGAAAGAAGACAGAACAAAACCCCUUCCCGAACCAAGGUGAUUCCCGCAGCCAGUGAAGAACAGCUUUUACUAGUAGAACUGGUUCGCUCCAUCAGCGUCAUGAGAGCAGAAACUGUUAUCCAGACUGUGAAAGAAGUUUUAAAGCAGCCUCCAGCCAUAGCCAAGGACAAGAAACAUCUUUCUCUGGAAGUCUGCAUGCUUCAGUUUUUCUAUGCUUAUAUACAAAGAAUUCCAGUGCCCAAUUUAGUGGACAGUUGGACAUCACUAUUGGUUCUUCUAAAAGAUUCUAUACAGCUGAGUCUUCCAGCCCCAGGGCAGUUUCUUAUACUUGGGGUUCUAAAUGAGUUUAUUAUGAAAAAUCCUAGUUUGGAAAAUAAAAAAGACCAAAGAGACCUUCAGGAUGUGACUCACAAAAUUGUGGAUGCUAUUGGUGCAAUUGCUGGUUCCUCUCUAGAGCAGACAACGUGGCUCCGACGAAACCUAGAAGUUAAGGCUUCUCCUAAAAUAAUGGUGGAUGGAACCAAUUUGGAGUCUGAUGUUGAAGAUAUGCUAUCACCUGCAAUGGAAACCUCAAACAUUACUCCCUCUGUAUAUAGUGUCCAUGCACUGACAUUGCUUUCCGAGGUAUUGGCUCAUCUUCUAGAUAUGGUCUUCUACAGUGAUGAAAAAGAGCGUGUUAUCCCUUUACUUGUAAACAUUAUGCAUUAUGUUGUACCCUACCUCCGAAAUCACAGUGCCCAUAAUGCCCCUAGUUACCGAGCCUGUGUCCAACUGCUCAGCAGUCUUAGUGGGUAUCAGUAUACACGGAGAGCCUGGAAAAAAGAAGCCUUUGACCUUUUCAUGGAUCCCAGUUUCUUUCAGAUGGACGCGUCCUGUGUUAAUCAUUGGAGAGCAAUUAUGGACAACCUGAUGACACAUGAUAAGACAACAUUCAGAGAUUUGAUGACUCGAGUAGCUGUGGCCCAAAGCAGUUCUCUCAAUCUGUUUGCAAAUCGAGAUGUGGAGCUAGAACAGAGAGCCAUGCUUCUUAAAAGAUUGGCCUUUGCUAUUUUUAGCAGUGAAAUUGACCAGUACCAGAAGUACCUUCCAGACAUACAAGAGAGAUUGGUUGAGAGUCUCCGUUUGCCCCAGGUGCCGACUCUUCACUCUCAAGUGUUCCUGUUCUUCAGAGUAUUACUUUUAAGAAUGUCUCCACAACACCUUACCUCUCUCUGGCCUACCAUGAUCACAGAACUUGUGCAGGUAUUCCUAUUGAUGGAGCAAGAGCUCACUGCUGAUGAAGAUAUUUCACGGACAUCAGGGCCAUCUGCGGCUGGUCUGGAGACAACCUAUACUGGAGGUAAUGGCUUCUCCACCUCUUAUAACAGCCAGAGGUGGUUAAACCUCUAUCUUUCUGCUUGCAAGUUUUUGGAUUUGGCUCUGGCGUUGCCCUCUGAAAAUCUUCCUCAGUUUCAGAUGUACCGAUGGGCCUUUAUACCCGAAGCUUCAGAUGAUUCAGGCUUGGAGGUCAGACGGCAGGGCAUACAUCAGCGAGAAUUUAAGCCAUACGUGGUUCGACUAGCAAAACUUCUUCGGAAAAGGGCAAAGGACGAGGAGGACUUUAAGAUUUUGGAGGGAAUGGAGAUGGCCAAGCAUCAGAAAAAUCCAGAGGAAGACAGCUCAGGGAGGACACUGGGCUGGGAGCCGGGGCACUUGUUACUCACCCUCUGCACCAUGCGCAGCAUGGAGCAGCUUCUGCCCUUCUUCAACGUCCUCAGCCAAGUUUUCAACAGCAAAGUCACAAGCCGGUGCGGAGGACACUCAGGGAGCCCUGUCCUCUACUCAAACUCCUUCCCCAACAAGGACAUGAAACUGGAGAACCACAAAGCAUUUUCCAGCAAAGCCAGGCAAAAAAUUGAAGAGAUGAUAGAAAAGGAUUUUCUGGAAGGAGUCAUAAAAUCUUGACCACCACCGUGGUUCCCCAGAGACGCAACGGAAAUUAUCAGAAUGGUCACUUUGCUGUCAGAGACUUCAUGUGGAGCUGUCCCUCCACAUCCCUUCUCUUAAGAGUAGCUGAAGCCUGGACCACACAUCCUAUGUGAUUCCAAACACAAUCAAACAGUGCUUUCUCCUCCCGUUCCCAGCUUACUUGUGAGUCUGCUUCUGCAUAUACUCGGACAAUGUCUUCUGUACCAGAGGGCCGGACAAAAG